rnacentral:ncRNA from 1 species
CCCGAUAUUCUACUAUCGGUAUGCUACUCGGACAUGCGAAGUUGGUGACGAAUUGGUGUGAAGCUCCGAGAAGAAUGGAAUCCUUUAGUUGCAAGAGCUAAGAGUAUUGACUGUGAAGUUGAUGCAAUGCUGCCAGCAUCAAGGCGGCGAGG